rnacentral:ncRNA from 1 species
UAACACAUAUUUGCUCCCGCUUAACCAAGACCUAUGGGAGGAUAAAUUACGUCUUAAUAUCGUUAAGUGAAGGGAUUUAACGAAAAUAUAGUAUCGC